rnacentral:rRNA from 1 species
AUUGAACGCUGGCGGCAUGCCUUACACAUGCAAGUCGAACGGCAGCACGGGGGCAACCCUGGUGGCGAGUGGCGAACGGGUGAGUAACAUAUCGGAACAUACCCUAGAGUGGGGGAUAACGUAGCGAAAGUUACGCUAAUACCGCAUACGAUCUAAGGAUGAAAGUGGGGGAUCUUCGGACCUCAUGCUCAUGGAGUGGCCGAUAUCUGAUUAGCUAGUUGGUGAGGUAAAGGCUCACCAAGGCGACGAUCAGUAGCUGGUUUGAGAGAACGACCAGCCACACUGGAACUGAGACACGGUCCAGACUCCUACGGGAGGCAGCAGUGGGGAAUUUUGGACAAUUGGGGGCAACCCUGAUCCAGCAAUGCCGCGUGAGUGAAGAAGGCC